rnacentral:rRNA from 1 species
AGUGAACGCUGGCGGUAGGCCUAACACAUGCAAGUCGAACGGCAGCACAGUAAGAGCUUGCUCUUACGGGUGGCGAGUGGCGGACGGGUGAGGAAUACAUCGGCAUCUACUUUUUCGUGGGGGAUAACGUAGGGAAACUUACGCUACUACCGCAUACGACCUACGGGUGAAAGCAGGGGAUCUUCGGACCUUGCGCGAUUGAAUGAGCCGAUGUCGGAUUAGCUAGUUGGCGGGGUAAAGGCCCACCAAGGCGACGAUCCGUAGCUGGUCUGAGAGGAUGAUCAGCCACACUGGAACUGAGACACGGUCCAGACUCCUACGGGAGGCAGCAGUGGGGAAUAUUGGACAAUGGGCGCAAGCCUGAUCCAGCCAUACCGCGUGGGUGAAGAAGGCCUUCGGGUUGUAAAGCCCUUUUGUUGGGAAAGAAAAACAGCAGGUUAAUACCCCGCUGUUCUGACGGUACCCAAAGAAUAAGCACCGGCUAACUUCGUG